ACUUGGUGGUGUGGGCAUUUAUGCAAGAGGUCCCAUAAGCACUCUCAUGUCUCAGAAAAUUGUUCCUCAUCCAAUUGUGAGAAACUAGUGAUUGCCUUCCUCAGCU